rnacentral:rRNA from 1 species
AAACCAACUGGGAUUACCUUAGUAACGGCGAGUGAAGCGGUAAAAGCUCAAAUUUGAAAUCUGGUACUUUCAGUGCCCGAGUUGUAAUUUGUAGAAUUUGUCUUUGAUUAGGUCCUUGUCUAUGUUCCUUGGAACAGGACGUCAUAGAGGGUGAGAAUCCCGUUUGGCGAGGAUACCUUUUCUCUGUAAGACUUUUUCGAAGAGUCGAGUUGUUUGGGAAUGCAGCUCAAAGUGGGUGGUAAAUUCCAUCUAAAGCUAAAUAUUGGCGAGAGACCGAUAGCGAACAAGUACAGUGAUGGAAAGAUGAAAAGAACUUUGAAAAGAGAGUGAAAAAGUACGUGAAAUUGUUGAAAGGGAAGGGCAUUUGAUCAGACAUGGUGUUUUUUGCAUGCACUCGCCUCUCGUGGGCUUGGGCCUCUCAAAAAUUUCACUGGGCCAACAUCAAUUCUGGCAGUAGGAUAAAUCAUUAAGAAUGUAGCUACCUCGGUAGUGUUAUAGCUUAUUGGAAUACUGCUAGCUGGGAUUGAGGACUGCGCUUCGGCAAGGAUGUUGGCAUAAUGGUUAAAUGCCGCCCGUCUUGAAACA